ACAUUUCAUGAAGAUGGGAAGCAUAUGACCUCUGGGACAAAGCAUUCUAGCACUGGCACAUAAAACAGGAGUCCAUAUCCUCUAUACUGUCAUAGAAUCCUCUCAAGCAGCCACGCCUCCCAUUACCAUAAAACCCAGAGUAGGAUUUGAACAACAUUUUGCAUUUGUUGCACUCUCUGAUGUCAAAGGGCACCUGCAAUUCAGCCUUGGAUGAUGCAUUCCACUUCUCCCAGCUCACAACACCUGCAGCCAAACACACACACACACACACACACGAGGGCAGUCUUAUUUUAACUACUUCACAUCUCCUUAUACAAUCGCUCAUUAGUGACAUAAUGAACGCAAUGUUGUAAUCAAACAUUACAACUAAUCAAAUAAGUAGGGAUGGGUAGAUCGACAUCUAGUGUCGACACACGUUUCGAGUUUUCUACACACUAGUGUUUCGAAACAGUGCUCCGAAGCCUUGCUCGAAUCGGUCUUUGUCAGAUGACGUCACACUCACGAGAAUCGAAUUGCAUUUUGGGUACCGCCGCCAUUUGUAAGGUAUCAAAGCCGAGGUGUUCUGUAGUUGCAGAAUUGUUUUUUUGAUUUGCUUCAAAAUUGUACGUUUUUGUUGUGUUAAAGUCAGCGAUGGUAAAUUACACGACAGAAAAGGUUAAAAACUGACAACGAGGAAAGAUAUUUUAGGUCUCCCACUUGAAGGAAACAUUAGACAACAUGCAGUGGAAAUAACCAAGAAGCGUCGGGUGGCCUGGGUAUCAGCAGUGAUAUACAAAGUCAUCAUAUUUGCCCUUGACAUUUUCAUAAAGGUUGGUGUGACUAAACCGUAAGAAAAAAAAAUAAACACAUUGCAGCCAGCUGAGAUGAUGACCCACCAGGCUGGAGGAGAUGGUCAGCUACACACUGAAGGCUGGAGGAGAUGGUCGACUUCACAAGACACCUCUCGAUGCCACAAACUGAAUGUAACUUGUGUGUACAUAGAAGAAAACGGACAGCUUUUCAUGUCAAACAUAAGGGAAAUUCUCACUUCAUUUUAAAUACUUCUGUUAACUUAAUGCACCUCAGAUUGGAUCUGCCUGCAUGAACACUGUUUUAUACAACUGUUACAGGCACAAAAUUAUCCCUGCUUUGAGAUUUUCACAGAGAAUCCAUUCGGUGUAAAAGUGUGUGCCAGACAGUGUUCUACCUACAAACUAUUAAUUAUUUGGCAGAUCAUCUAGCAAGAAUCCAUGUAGAAAGGGUCAUCAGAAAUGUUUGGCAGAAGCAUUAAAUCAUCAUCACAUUAUUUUUAAUAUUAUUAAUUUUAUUAUUUAUUUUCAUUUUAUUAUUACUCAACUUUCUUUGUAGUACUUGCACUGUGUCCACUUAGCAGUAUGUUGAUGUUCAUCAUGCUUGUCACAUCUUCUGUUUGCAUUUUUAAGCUGAUUUUUAACAGUGUUGCAUUUAUA